AGAGUGAAAGAAAGAAAGGAAGAGAGAGAGAGAGAGAAAGAGAGAAAGAAUCAGUAUUACUUUUGUCUGAUUUUUAUCCUCCUAGAGAAGUGGGCCUUCGGUGAGCAGGUGGUGGGCCCUGAGAAGCCAGGUUGGAUGGGCUGCUCAUCUGGCCCUAGAGUACAACUUGAAAGUUAGGACACUGGGGAAAUGUCACAGCAGAAAGCCAGAUAAACUGUCUAAUGCGUCAUCAGCUGGAAUAGGCUAGCAAGAGGGACAACUCAGGCGCACACUCGAAGAAUCAGAUGAACUGCAAAGGUUGGGUUCCUUCAGUGAAUGAACUCGUCAUCUCAAUGCUGCCGUGACUUCUUUUUCUUAGGCCCCUGGCUCAGGGCUGAGAAUCUCCAGAUGCUGUUAUGUAUUGUGCAGUUUGGGUUGCUAUGGUGCUGGGAAUGGCCUGUAAAUGCUGAAAUCCUGCCAUUGCAAGGGUGCCUCUUAGAGGAUGACGUGUUAUAUGUGGAUUUGGGUUACGUGUAGAUUUAGCCUCCGUGACAUCGGAGAUGUGAUUUGGUGCUUCUCAUCCUCUUCAGAUCCUAAUCUGAUCACCUUCUUGACCGUGUCAAUGGACUGAGUUACAAUAGAUUGUUCAAAUAGCCAAAUAACCCAUUUAAUAAAAGGAUGCUGAGCUC
rnacentral:lncRNA from 1 species